rnacentral:rRNA from 1 species
UACGAAGGGGGCUAGCGUUGCUCGGAAUCACUGGGCGUAAAGGGCGCGUAGGCGGCCAGCACAAGUCAGUUGUGAAAUCUCCGAGCUUAACUCGGAAAGGUCAACUGAUACUGUGCGGCUAGAGUGCAGAAGGGGCAACUGGAAUUCUUGGUGUAGCGGUGAAAUGCGUAGAUAUCAAGAGGAACACCUGCGGCGAAGGCGGGUUGCUGGGCUGACACUGACGCUGAGGCGCGAAAGCUAGGGGAGCGAACGGG